rnacentral:rRNA from 1 species
AUGCGUGCUGAAUAUGAUGCUUUAGUAAGGAACAAUACCUGGCACUUGGUUCCACCAAAGCCAGGGAGGAAUAUUAUAGACUGUAAAUGGGUAUAUAAAAUCAAAAAGAAGGUAGAUGGAACAAUAGAUAGAUACAAAGCUAGAUUAGUAGCUAAGGGUUUUAAACAACGUUAUGGUAUUGAUUAUGAGGACACCUUCAGUCCAGUAGUGAAGGCUGCUACUAUCAGACUUGUUCUGUCUAUUGUUGUUUCCAAGGGAUGGAAUCUUCGCCAAUUGGAUGUUCAGAAUGCGUUUCUACAUGGUGUUCUCGAGAAAGAGGUCUAUAUGCGGCAGCCACCAGGUUUUGAGAAUACAUCCAAACCUAAUCAUGUAUGCAGGUUGGACAAAGCCUUGUAUGGCUUAAAACAGGCACCAAGGGCAUGGUAUUCAAGGUUGAGUGUUAAGCUACAACAGCUUGGAUUCUGUCCAUCAAAGGGAGAUACUUCCCUAUUCUUUUUCAAGAAGGGCAAGGUGAUUAUAUACAUGCUUAUUUAUGUUGAUGACAUAAUUGUAGCAAGUUCUUCGCAAGAUGCCACAUUAGCGUUGCUAAAGAAUUUGAAAAGUGAGUUUGCUUUGAAAGAUUUGGGAGAAUUACACUAUUUCCUAGGCAUUGAAGUUAAAAGGAUACAAGAUGAUAUUUUACUCACUCAAGAGAAAUAUGCUUCUGAUAUUUUGAGUCGUGUAGGGAUGAAGGAUUGUAAACCUUCUAGUACACCCAUGUCAACUACAGAAAAAUUGUCAUUGAAUGAG